AACGUAGGAGACAAACGUUAUCCGGAGUUACUGGGCGUAAAGGGCGUGCAGGCGGUUAGUUAAGUCUGGCGUGAAAGCUCUCGGCUAAACCGGGAGAGGUCGUUGGAUACUGGCUGACUAGAGGACGGUAGAGGCGUGUGGAAUUCCGGGUGUAGUGGUGAAAUGCGUAGAGAUCCGGAGGAACACCAGUGGCGAAGGCGACACGCUGGGCCGUACCUGACGCUAAAGCGCGACAGCAUGGGGAGCAAACGGG
rnacentral:rRNA from 1 species